CCUACGGGCGGCAGCAGUAGGGAAUAUUGCUCAAUGGGGGAAACCCUGAAGCAGCAACGCCGCGUGGAGGAUGAAGGUUUUCGGAUUGUAAACUCCUUUUGUUAGAGAAGAUAAUUACGGUAUCUAACGAAUAAGCACCGGCUAACUCCGUUCCAGCAGCCGCGGUAAUACGGAGGGUGCAAGCGUUACUAGGAAUCACUGGGCGUAAAGAGGGCGUAGGCGGGAUAGCAAGUCAGAUGUGAAAUCCUAUGGCUUAACCAUAGAACUGCAUUUGAAACUGUUAUUCUAGAGUAUGGGAGAGGUAGGUGGAAUUCUUGGUGUAGGGGUAAAAUCCGUAGAGAUCAAGAGGAAUACUCAUUGCGAAGGCGACCUGCUAGAACAUAACUGACGCUGAUGCGCGAAAGCGUGGGGAGCAAACAGGAUUAGAUACCCUUGUAGUC
rnacentral:rRNA from 1 species